ACGCUGGCGGCGUGCCUAAUACAUGCAAGUCGAGCGAACUGAUUAGAAGCUUGCUUCUAUGACGUUAGCGGCGGACGGGUGAGUAACACGUGGGCAACCUGCCUGUAAGACUGGGAUAACUUCGGGAAACCGAAGCUAAUACCGGAUAGGAUCUUCUCCUUCAUGGGAGAUGAUUGAAAGAUGGUUUCGGCUAUCACUUACAGAUGGGCCCGCGGUGCAUUAGCUAGUUGGUGAGGUAACGGCUCACCAAGGCAACGAUGCAUAGCCGACCUGAGAGGGUGAUCGGCCACACUGGGACUGAGACACGGCCCAGACUCCUACGGGAGGCAGCAGUAGGGAAUCUUCCGCAAUGGACGAAAGUCUGACGGAGCAACGCCGCGUGAGUGAUGAAGGCUUUCGGGUCGUAAAGCUCUGUUGUUAGGGAAGAACAAGUGCGAGAGUAACUGCUUGCACCUUGACGGUACCUAACCAGAAAGCCACGGCUAACUACGUGCCAGCAGCCGCGGUAAUACGUAGGUGGCAAGCGUUGUCCGGAAUUAUUGGGCGUAAAGGGCUCGCAGGCGGUUUCUUAAGUCUGAUGUGAAAGCCCCCGGCUCAACCGGGGAGGGUCAUUGGAAACUGGGAAACUUGAGUGCAGGAGAGGAGAGUGGAAUUCCACGU
rnacentral:rRNA from 1 species